rnacentral:tRNA from 1 species
GCCCGUUUAGAGCAGAGGUUAGCUCGCUGGCCUCCGGUUCUUUCCCAGAUCCCUACAGCCAGAAGUCAUCGGUUCGAAUCCGAUAACGGGUA